GAUUGACCUCGGAUCAGGUAGGGAUACCCGCUGAACUUAAGCAUAUCAAUAAGCGGAGGAAAAGAAACCAACAGGGAUUGCCUCAGUAACGGCGAGUGAAGCGGCAACAGCUCAAAUUUGAAAUCUGGCCCCUCCGGGGUCCGAGUUGUAAUUUGUAGAGGGUGUUUCGGGCGAGGCGCCGGUCUAAGUCCCUUGGAACGGGGCGUCAGAGAGGGUGAGAAUCCCGUACGCGACCGGUGGCCGAGCCUAUGUGAAACCCCUUCGACGAGUCGAGUUGUUUGGGAAUGCAGCUCAAAACGGGUGGUAAAUUUCAUCUAAAGCUAAAUACCGGCCAGAGACCGAUAGCGCACAAGUAGAGUGAUCGAAAGAUGAAAAGCACUUUGGAAAGAGAGUCAAAAAGUACGUGAAAUUGUUGAAAGGGAAGCGCUUGCAACCAGACCUGCCCGCGGGUGAUCAGCCGUCCUUCUGGGCGGUGCACUCGCCCGCGAUCAGGCCAGCAUCGGUUCGGGCGGUCGGAUAAAGGCCUCGGGAACGUGGCUCCCCUCGGGGAGUGUUAUAGCCCCUGGUGCAAUGCGGCCCGCCCGGACCGAGGACCGCGCUUCGGCUAGGAUGCUGGCGUAAUGGUUGUAAGCGGCCCGUCUUGAAACACGGACCAAGGAGUCGACCAACUAUGCGAGUGUUUGGGUGUCAAACCCACACGCGCAAUGAAAGUGAACGGAGGUGGGAACCCCUCGCGGGGCGCACCAUCGACCGAUCCAGAUGUCUUCGGAUGGAUUUGAGUACGAGCAUAGCUGGUCGGACCCGAAAGAUGAUGAACUAUGCCUGAAUAGGGUGAAGCCAGAGGAAACUCUGGUGGAGGCUCGCAGCGGUUCUGACGUGCAAAUCGAUCGUCAAAUUUGGGCAUAGGGGCGAAAGACUAAUCGAAUCAUCUAGUAGCUGGUUCCAGCC
rnacentral:rRNA from 1 species